ensembl:lncRNA
UAAAACUAAACCCACAAAACUAACCCACUUUAUUGGUUAAACUGCCUUAUAUUGAGUCCUCAUGCACAGGCCUGAUGGUGGCUAAAGCUAAAACUUGUUCACCAUCCUAUUCAGCUGCACCUUUAAGAAUUAAAACUCAGUCAAAUAAACUCAUCUGAAACCGAACCUUCGGUUUAAGCCUUAUUUUAUUUGCACUAAGGCGGUUCGACCCCAUACACCGGCCUCCGUUCGCUAUAAGCACAUUGCUGUAAUCCCCGUGGACUACUGAAACGGGUAACUAGAUCACUUCUUUAAAAAGCACCUUAAUGGAUUGGCCUGCCUGCCGCUGGUUUGCUUUAAAAUGAAAUGCAUCAACUGUCUUUAUGCAUCUCUUCCUUCUGCUAUUGCAAUCUGUUUGCAUAUUCAAACUCACACAUCUGGCUGAGCCGAACUACUGUUAAACACCAAAUUUUGUUAUGCACCAUCCAAACUAGACCUAAAAGUGACUCUACUGUAGCUAUUCAUUCAUGCACAAUAGUGCACACAUUUUAUGCAUGCAAAGACGAAACUGUCCAAGGCAGUUUUGAGAAGCUGGAAGGGCCGUAAUCAUACGCCAGCGCUCGUCUGCUGAUGAGGACAGGUGAGUGUUAUAAUCGCUCCUGUGCUGACGGCACGCGCACACACACUCUUCAAUCUCAAAUAACACAUGCAUGUUACAUCAUUACAGCAUUCAUGCAAUUAUCACGGCUACAGGAUGUGUUCAUCUCAGCAACGGCGUACAGUAUGAACACUAUAUGUAAAUGUGGCCUACCCCUGUCCUGUGAGCCGAUGGAAAGAAAAGUGUCCGCGUGUGGGACGGCUGCGGGAAUCUUUGGUUCGCUUUGGGCUGAAGUCGUAGCUACCAUCCAAAACCCUCUCAACGCUACCACGGCAACAGCCAGAGGAUUAUGGGACCAUACCAUUCUGCUGUCAAAGGGGAUUAGAGUGCACACAACAUGGCCCCUUUCUUUCUGUGUGUGUGUGUGUGUCACAAAUGACCAGAUUACCCUGUACCGCUAUUCUCAUCCAGGCUUUACAGAGACAGUGAGGACAGCUGAGGUUGAAACUUCAAAUGAUUGGCUUCCUGUAGUUUUCGUGCUCUGUCCUCCAGACGUUUGGCGAUGACGGCGAGUUCGGUGUUCUUCUUCCUCAACCUCUUCACCUUCUCCUCGGUCUCUGGAGAACUGCUCUUCCUCUGAGGACAAUUUGAUUUGGAGAACAAAAAAAUGUGUCACACCAGGACAGUCUGAGAACUGCAAACAAGCUAAAAGGGAUUAAAUAUGAAAAAAAAAAAAUUAUG